AUUGAACGCUGGCGGCAGGCCUAACACAUGCAAGUCGAGCGGAUGAAGGGAGCUUACUCCUGGAUUCAGCGGCGGACGGGUGAGUAAUGCCUAGGAAUCUGCCUGGUAGUGGGGGAUAACGUCCGGAAACGGGCGCUAAUACCGCAUACGUCCUGAGGGAGAAAGUGGGGGAUCUUCGGACCUCACGCUAUCAGAUGAGCCUAGGUCGGAUUAGCUAGUUGGUGGGGUAAAGGCCUACCAAGGCGACGAUCCGUAACUGGUCUGAGAGGAUGAUCAGUCACACUGGAACUGAGACCCGGUCCAGACUCCUACGGGAGGCAGCAGUGGGGAAUUUUGGACAAUGGGCGAAAGCCUGAUCCAGCAUGCCGCGUGUGUGAAGAAGGUCUUCGGAUUGUAAAGCACUUUAAGUUGGGAGGAAGGGCAGUAAGUUAAUACCUUGCUGUUUUGACGUUACCAACAGAAUAAGCACCGGCUAACUUCGUG
rnacentral:rRNA from 1 species